rnacentral:tRNA from 1 species
GGGCCCAUAGCUCAGCCUGGUAGAGCACCGGCCUUUUAAGCCGGGUGUCGAGGGUUCGAACGACCGAUGUGCAGGAGCGGAGCGAGUGUGCAUCUGUGCAACCGGUUGGAUAUUCCCUCUGGGCCCGCCA